GAGAUCCUACGGGGGGCAGCAGUGGGGGAUAUUGCACAAUGGGGGGAACCCUGAUGCAGCGACGCCGCGUGGGUGAAGGAGCGUUUCGGCGCGUAAAGCCCUAUCGGCAGGGAAGAAGGAGGACGGUACCUGACUAAGAAGCCCCGGCUAACUACGUGCCAGCAGCCGCGGGAAUACGUAGGGGGCAAGCGUUAUCCGGAUUUACUGGGUGUAAAGGGGGCGCAGACGGCAGCGCAAGGCAGGAGGGAAAGCCCGGGGCCCAACCCCGGGGCUGCU
rnacentral:rRNA from 1 species